rnacentral:rRNA from 1 species
UAUUUUGAUAUUGUUUUCCAUUGAAUAUAGUGUAGAAUACAAGGGAGUGUAAACGUCAGUGAAAUACCUUGAUAUAUUAUAAUGGAAAACUAACUCAGUAGAGGACAGUUUCAAAUGGUCAGUUUUGCUGGGGCGGUAGCCUCUAAAAAAGUAUCAGAGGCCUUCAAAGGUAUAUUUAUAUUGGUCAGAAACCAAUGGAAGAAUAAUUCCAACAAAGUGUAAUAAUCAAAUAUGCUUUACUGAAAGAUUGAUGGAUCGAUCAGUUACGCAAGUAGGAUAUAGUGAUCCGGUGAUCCAGAAUGGAAUGAUCAUCGCUCAAGA